CCGGCGUCUAAGGCAGAUUCCACUUACUGAUGAGUCCAGUAGUGGGGACCAGGACGAAACACCGC
rnacentral:hammerhead_ribozyme from 14 species